UACGUAGGGUGCAAGCGUUGUCCGGAAUUAUUGGGCGUAAAGAGCUCGUAGGCGGUCUGUCGCGUCGGCUGUGAAAACCCGGGGCUCAACCCCGGGCCUGCAGUCGAUACGGGCAGACUAGAGUGCGGUAGGGGAGACUGGAAUUCCUGGUGUAGCGGUGAAAUGCGCAGAUAUCAGGAGGAACACCGGUGGCGAAGGCGGGUCUCUGGACAGUUCCUGACACUGAGACACGAAGGCCAGGGGAGCAAACGGG
rnacentral:rRNA from 1 species